rnacentral:rRNA from 1 species
UACAGAGGUCCCAAGCGUUGUUCGGAUUCACUGGGCGUAAAGGGUGCGUAGGCGGUUGGGUAAGUCUGUCGUGAAAUCUCCGAGCCUAACUCGGAAACUGCGUCGGAUACUAUUCAACUCGAGGAAUGGAGGGGAGACUGGAAUUCUCGGUGUAGCAGUGAAAUGCGUAGAUAUCGAGAGGAACACCAGUGGCGAAGGCGAGUCUCUGGACAUUUCCUGACGCUGAGGCACGAAAGCCAGGUGAGCAAACGGG